rnacentral:lncRNA from 1 species
UGCUUCCUUUCUCUCCUCAUCCACUUUCAUCUGUGUCCCCUCCCCUCCCCUUCCUUUUAUUCCUGUCUUCUCUAUUCCUUUCCUCUCUCCUCCUCCUGUCACCCCUGUACUUCCUCUCUCCACUAACUUUGCGUUCCGUGUCCCCUCCUCUUACCGUCUCGUUCUUUUUACCUCUCCUCUCCUCUCCUCUUCCUCCACCUCUCAUAGUUCUCCUUUAGUUACUCUUCUUCCUGACUUCCUCUCAACUCCUCUCCUCGCUCUUCUUCCCUUCCUCUCCUCCUUGAGUAUUUUCUCCCUCACUGUCUGCCCCCCUCUCUCCUUCUCCUCUCUCAUCUCCUCUCCUCUCUCAUCUCCUCUCCUCUCCUAUCCUCUCCUUCUCCUCUCUCAUCUCCGCUCCUCUCCUCUCUCCUUUUCCUCUCUCAUCCUCUGCCUCUGUUGCUCUUGCACCCUCUUGUCUCCUCUCCUCUCCCUCUCUUGCCUCCCUUUCUCCCCUCAUCUCCCAUCUCCCACUGCUUCUCCUACAUCUUCCUCUCCUCUCUGUUCCUCUACUCUACUCACCACAGCAUCUCUCCCUUACACCCAUCUCUCCUCCUCCUCCUCCUCCUCCUCCUCCUCUCUUCUCCCCUUCCGUCUUCUUCUCCACCUUUCUCCUCUCCAUCCCUCUUCUCCUCUUCUUCCUCACUCCUCUCCUCUCCAAUCAAAAGACUCCUCUUGGGAGAAGUGGAACUGCGGCAGGAGCUGGGCUCUUAUCAGGCGCUGUCAGAUAGCGUUCCCCGCGUCCCUCCUACACAAUAGCCCCCGCAGCGCUACGCUACGCUGCCAUGCAGGCACCACACAAUCACACUGACAAAGAGUCUGACGGAGCGGAUCUCACACACUUGGGGGGAGAGCGCAGGAAGUCAGGGAGUCAGCAAAGGGACAGGAGAGAGGAGAGAGGGAGAGAGAGAGAGAGAGAGAGAGAGAGAGAGAGAGCGAGAGAGUGGGAGAUAGUGGGAGAGGGGAAGAGAGAGAGAGUGGGAGAGGGGAAGAGAGAGAGAGUGGGAGAGAGAGAGAGAGUGAGUGCGAGAGGGGAAGACAGUGAGUGGGAGAGAGAGAGGGCAAGAAAGAGAGAGAGAGGCAGAGUAGGAGACGGGCGCACAUAAGGUUGCU